rnacentral:rRNA from 1 species
CCUACGGGUGGCAGCAGUGAGGAAUAUUGGUCAAUGGGCGGAAGCCUGAACCAGCCAAGUCGCGUGAGGGACUAAGGCCCUACGGGUCGUAAACCUCUUUUGCCGGGGAGCAGUGCCCAGCUCGCGAGCUGGGAGGGAGCGUACCCGGAGAAAAAGCAUCGGCUAACUCCGUGCAAGCAGCCGCGGUAAUACGGGGGACGGGAGGGUUAUCCGGAUUUAUGGGGUUUAAGGGGUGCGUAGGCGGGCCUUCAGGCCGGCGGUAAAAUUGCGGGGCUCAACCCCGCCGAGCCGUCGGAACCGGGGGCCUUGAGUACCGGAGAGGUACGCGGAAUGCGUGGUGUAGCGGUGAAAUGCGUAGAUAUCACGCAGAACCCCGAUUGCGAAGGCAGCGUGCCGGCCGGUCACUGACGCUGAGGCACGAAAGCGCGGGUAUCGAACAGGAUUAGAUACCCGAGUAGUC